rnacentral:rRNA from 1 species
GUGCUAAGUGGGAAAGGAUGUGGAGUUGCGAAGACAACCAGGAGGUUGGCUUAGAAGCAGCCAUCCUUGAAAGAGUGCGUAAUAGCUCACUGGUCAAGUGAUUCCGCGCCGACAAUGUAGCGGGGCUCAAGUACACCGCCGAAGUUGUGGAUUUCAGAUAGUAGACAAGCCUUCGUGGUUCAGUCGUCUGGAGUGGUAGGGGAGCGUCGUGUGGGCGGUGAAGUCGCGGUGUAAACCAGCGGUGGAGCCUACACGAGUGAGAAUGCAGGCAUGAGUAGCGAAAGACGGGUGAGAAACCCGUCCGCCGAAUGAUCAAGGGUUCCAGGGUCAAGCUAAUCUGCCCUGGGUAAGUCGGGACCUAAGGCGAGGCCGACAGGCGUAGUCGAUGGACAACGGGUUGAUAUUCCCGUACCGGCGAAGGACCGCCCAUGCCAAGCGGGGGAUACUAACCGCCCGGAGCCUGCCCAAUCACCCUUGUGGUGUGCGGGUUUUGGCCGAGCGCGGGACCUGAUCCCGGGAGGUAAGCGUAUUAACAGGUGUGACGCAGGAAGGUAGCCGGGCCGGGCGAUGGUUGCCCCGGUCUAAGGAUGUAGGGUCAGCGAUAGGCAAAUCCGUCGCUGUGUCUUUGAUGACGUUCCUGAGAUCUGAUGGGACCCCCGUCAUGGGGGGAUCCGGUGAUCCUAUGCUGCCUAGAAAAGCAUCGGCGCGAGGUUCUAGCCGCCCGUACCCCAAACCGACACAGGUGAUCAGGUAGAGAAUACCAAGGCGAUCGAGAGAAUUAUGGUUAAGGAACUCGGCAAAAUGCCCCCGUAACUUCGGGAGAAGGGGGGCCCCAACCUUGAACACCACUUGCUGGUGGGAGGGGAUCGGGGCCGCAGAGACCAGGGGGAAGCGACUGUUUACUAAAAACACAGGUCCGUGCGAAGUCGCAAGACGAUGUAUACGGACUGACUCCUGCCCGGUGCUGGAAGGUUAAGAGGACCGGUUAGCCGCAAGGCGAAGCUGAGAAUUCAAGCCCCAGUAAACGGCGGUGGUAACUAUAACCAUCCUAAGGUAGCGAAAUUCCUUGUCGGGUAAGUUCCGACCUGCACGAAUGGAGUAACGACUUCCCCGCUGUCUCAACCAUAAACUCGGCGAAAUUGCAGUACGAGUAAAGAUGCUCGUUACGCGCAGCAGGACGGAAAGACCCCGAGACCUUUACUAUAGUUUGGUAUUGGUGUUCGGAGUGGCUUGUGUAGGAUAGGUGGGAG